rnacentral:sRNA from 1 species
UUUCGUCUCAGCCAAUCCCUGUUUUAGAGCUAGAAAUAGCAAGUUAAAAUAAGGCUAGUCCGUUAUCAACUUGAAAAAGUGGCACCGAGUCGGUGCUUUU